rfam:Tursiops truncatus cont1.286764, whole genome shotgun sequence.
CCCUUUGGACUUUUCCUCUAGGUUCCAUGCUUACCUCUUCUGUGACCUCACUCUACCCUUCCUCCUCCCUCUUAACUCUCUCGAGGUUACCCCUUCACUUAAAACGUUGCUUCUGGU